GCCGCUUUAUCUCCAACCUGUUACAUUCUUCUAAAAGGUCUGGGUUGAGACGGCUUGGAUGUGAUGAUAUCUUGUCGAUCUGGAACUGUAUCCCAAAGGGAAUAUAUUACAACCAACAGAAUUUUCAGCAUUGAGGCGGGUGUGAUCUGGCGACACCUGGAGGCGCUGAUGUUCGAGACGCAAUAGAAUCAGUAAAGGAACGCAUUAAAUUCGUUGUUGGUGCUUUUUUAAUGGGUGGAAAUGGAUUGAUGCACUAUCAAAAUGCGCUGACAAAGCACCAGCAAAUAAUUAGAGGUUGCGGCAUUUGUUGUCAUACUUUGGUACUCUCUGACUCUUCACCGCAUCUCUGCGGAGUACAUUCAGACGGCGCUCUGUACAGAAACAUUUGUAUGCAGAACCAUUCUCCAGCAACUUUGUUAUGUGAUCUCUGAAAUAUUUUUUAUUUAUUAACAAACAGAAAUGUUCAUAAUUAUAGAGAAAGUUCAUUGCUUAAAACCUUUAUGCAGAUUUUCUUGUAUAUAAAUCUAUACACAGAAAAACAAUGAAAUACAAAAACUGAAUAUAACUAUCA